AGACCCUGUGCAGGGGCUGCUUUGCUUUGCAGGCAAGGAAGGGCUUGGGCUGCUCCUCUGCCCUUGUUUGCUUUGGGAACACCAUGGGGGCAGUGCAGAGAGAAGGGAGAAAGCCUGGGAUUCCCUCACCCAUGGUGGGUUUUUCCCUGGCAAGCAGGGGUUGGACCUUCCUCAAGUCCCUGACAGAGAUAAGAUUUUUGACCUUUUUCCUUGUUCCCCUUUUUGUCUGUAAUCUAUUUUCAGUAAUUCGAUGUUUGUUUUUCUAGAGGAAGUGUUCCAGGUGGGGUCCAGUCUGGAUCAGGAAGUGCUUGGGAGCAGCUGCGGCGUGGAUGGGCCGUGCCCUUGGAGAAGGCUGAGGACAUCGUUUGGGACCAGCUUUUCUCCCAGCGGUGGAUGGCGUGAGCCGGGCUCUGCGGGUGCUGAGGCUGCUCUGGGCCCUGCCAGGGCUCUGCUGGAGCUCAGCACCGGGCCACAAUCAGCAAAAGGAGAAAUGGGGUGCCCUGCAGCACAGACUUGCUUGAGCAUUUCAGCAACACAGUUCAAGUUUGCAGAGUGUACACCUCCAAGGGAAAACAUGGCACCACCCAAAAAAUAAACUUGUUCAAUAACUUCUGAAA